AGGAGGUAAGGAUAUUAGAGUUAAUUUGGUGACAUACUUUUUCCGGGGAGUCUUGGGUAACGAUUUGUAAGUGUGGAAGGUGUUGGAGAGGCCGAUGUUGGGUGGGAAGGUAUGGGAAGGUGUGUCGGGCAGCAGCAGAGGAGAUCCACUAGUAUCAGCAGGGGCUCGCCAACGUGCCCUCUCGGCGGAGGCAACCCUUUCCCAGUAGCCUCUUCGGUUGGAGCCCUUCCAAGGAGCAGGAGGCGGAGCGAUUGAAACCAGUGUUGCGUUCAAGACAUGCUCGAGCUCCCAGCAGUAAGCCUAGUAAGGAGAGGAGGCGUACCUGGAGGAAGUCUCCGGUGAAGUUCCCCAUACCAUGGAUGGCGUAGAGGUGGGCCAGGGUGGACAUCACUGAGUGGACGCCUGGGUCCUCUAUCUGGUCCACCUUAUCUCUGAACAUCUUCAGCACCAUGUAGUGGCAGUGGGCCUGCAAAAACAUGUGCAUACACAUGCAUUGAAAUUUGGACUAUUGGACCAUUAUUUCACUUUCAUGACUCAGGCCAAUCCAACCAAUGUCACAAGUGUAAUUUUUUUUGAUAUAUAUCACAUGAAAGGAUAAUCAAUUACACUCUACUACCACUGAGGUCAAAUGUCUAAAUUAUUUUAUAUUAUUAUUACUAAAUUAAAAGGAAAAUAUUAUUAUUUUCCUUUUAAAAUCUACACCGUUCAAAGGAAUCAUUGGUAGUCAACAAACAGUAGCGCACCGCUCGGUGGAAACAAGGCAUACGACUGAGCGGGUUUGUUGGUUCUCGUAUCCUAGACUUGAGGGGAUAACCCCUCCCUCCAGGCUGCUCCACAGCCAGGGCUCCUGCUUAUUGGUUCAUAGCGCAGCCAUGCGCUAUGAACAGGCGUAGGCGGUAUCCAGAUCCCUUAGCUAGUCACACCCACUCAGAGGAGGACUUUCCUCCUCUCUCCCAUUGAACCCCUUGUUAUUCACCGGCCGCCCACACUUUCGGGGAAAUUAAUGGGAGUCAAUGGAGGCUGAGGGAGGAACGUCCUCCCUCAGCCUCCAUUAAUUGUCAAUAGGCGAUAAGGGGUGCUAAUUUCCCUUUACCGAGGGAAACGAACAUUAAAUAUACAAAGGCAUUAAAGUCGUCAUUAAAGUAGUCAUAUUUAAGGGCAUUAAUUCAUUAGUAGUCUGGUCAAUCUACAUUUUUUCUUCUCAACAAUGUUUAGGAGGAUCUUCCUCCCUCCCCUCAAUGGAGAAGCCUCCACUGAUGUAUAAUAUGAUAUUAUUUAGAUAAAGAGCUCCAGGACUCCUGCCGGAGCACCCGGAGUGUUCAAGAAUAAUUACAGAACACGGCCAAAAGAUGCGUGCGCCUCACCAUUGCAAGGCGCAAUGUAAACACGAGCACAUGGUACCGUGGCCGCAAGCUGCUCAGGGCCACACCCCCACCGCACGUUUGUGGAAAGCUCAUUGUGGGACUGGCUCGUAUUGACUGUAAUUCUGCCCCAAGGCUGAAUUUCUUGAACGUUUUCAAAUACUAAGGGCCCACUAACACCUAUAUAUAAGCAUCCAUAAAGUAGCAUGCCAUGGGACCUUUAAAAUACGCUAGUAAGGAUGUAAUUUAGGGAAAGUUGCACAUGGGGGCAGUGUUGAGGAGGCUCCGUGAGGUGAGGUUAAUUAUGUUGUCUCCAACCUCCAUCUGAUCUAUGGCAGAAAAAACGGGAAGGGAAUGUAGCUAUUUCGGCAAUGUAGGUAAAACCCCUAAAACGGUAAUUUGGGUGCAUCAAUGUGAUGAGCCGGGGUCAAACUAGAAACCUUCCGGUUAUAAGUCCAACCGACUCUACUUCCUGAGCUAAUGCCGCCCCUCCGAUCAUAGAGCUUUAUGCAUGCACGUCAGUAUAAUUUAGGUAUACAUUGAAUUUUCACUUCCUAGAUGUACUGAUUUAUUUGAAUAUGAUUAAUAACUACAAGUUAUUAAUUGUAUCUUGUAAAAAGUAACUUAUGUUAUCCUACUCAUUCAUGCUCAUCAUAACACUUUACUUAAGGUUGUUGAGUAAGAAAGAAAUUCACCAGCACUGUACCUCUCUAUCCUCCAAUUUUAUAUCCUAAACUUUGCACAUAUAUCAGCCAGGAAGCCAAAAAGGUAGGCCUUGUUUUGGGGAAUGAAAAAACUGGGAAUUCAAUCUAGCAUUCAAUUCAGUGGCGAAGCUAGACCUUUUUUGGGUGGGCUCAAGCCCACCCAAAACUUGCCUUAGCCCACCCUAUCAUUUCGUCCUCAAAUCUAAUAUUCUACCUUUUUUUUUUACACAAGCAAUGAGAGAAUACAUUCUGUAAUGAACAGGCACAAAUGGGCAAGUGAAAUCGAGCGCAACCUUCCUGCAGGAAUCUCUAACCUCUUAUUGGUGGGUGGGCGUCCCCUGUUUGAUAAAAC